AGGAUGAACGCUAGCGGCAGGCUUAAUACAUGCAAGUCGAGGGGUAAUAGCGUAGCAAUACGUUAUGAGACCGGCAAACGGGUGCGGAACACGUACGCAACCUUCCUUCAAGCGGGGAAUAGCCCAGAGAAAUUUGGAUUAAUACCCCAUAGAAUUUUGAGAAAGCAUUUUUCUCAUUAUUAAAGAUUUAUCACUUGAAGAUGGGCGUGCGGCUGAUUAGGUAGUUGGCGGGGUAACGGCCCACCAAGCCUACGAUCAGUAGCUGAUGUGAGAGCAUGAUCAGCCACACGGGCACUGAGACACGGGCCCGACUCCUACGGGAGGCAGCAGUAAGGAAUAUUGGUCAAUGGACGAAAGUCUGAACCAGCCAUGCCGCGUGGAGGAUGAAGGUCCUCUGGAUUGUAAACUUCUUUUAUUUGGGAAGAAUGUAGUAAUUUCUUUUUACUUGUACGUACCAGAUGAAUAAGCACCGGCUAACUCCGCGCCAGCAGCCGCGGUAAU
rnacentral:rRNA from 1 species